AAUCAAGCGACAUGCAAAGUAAAACCAAAUUCUCAGUAAUAUUUGGCCCAAGCCCGAUUUCCAGAUACAUGUUAUGGGACUGGGCCUUCAGCUCACGUAACACAACCCAAAGGUUCUUGGGGAUCUGAUUCCCAAGAAGAAUAACGAUUGCUUGAAUAGACCCUCACAACUACAAUUUGACUCUGUUAGCUCUUUAAACCUGACUAGCAACUAGUAAUUAAGGAGAAAUGGCACUCACUUAGAUUAAUGAGACCAUAAUCUAACCAUUACAACACACACAUUAUACAUUUAGGCUAAUUAGCGCCACUCAAAUGGCCAGCCCAAAACUGUCCCUUAAAGCUAUUUCUAAUUAUGGACUGAACAUGAAAACAAUUCCCAAAGCUCCUAUCACGUUUCUGGGUCACUUGCUAACCAGGUUUUGAAACAAUCGAACUACUGGUAUUUCAAUUACCCAAACAACAGACUUGCACAUAUCUCCAGUUUCAUGAAUACAUACCUAGCUUAACACAAUCCAUUACAAAUUAAGAGUUAAACCCAAUCUAAAUUACAUAUUGUUCCAGUCCAGUACAAACAAGCUAAAAUUCAUCCAAACCAAGUCCUAAAUUAACUACAGUAAAAUAAAUAGACAACAAGUAAAAGAAACUUCAGCAAGCACCAGGUAUCAAUUGCAUUGUCACUUCACAGGAGAAAUUACAUCAGAGUAAGCUCAAGCGUGUACCUGGAAUUGAAUCACAAUAAGAGGAGAGAUCAGCAGCAGUCACAGUUAAUCACAAACAGCCCAUAAGUGAAAUCCGAAAUCCAGAAGUGUUUAAAUUGAACAAAAUUAAUAGAUUCACUCCAAACAACAUCGAAAUACCCCCAGAAAUGCGCACACAGAUGAACAAACGCCAACAAGGACACCCAAACUUCACUCAAUCAAACAAUUCCAACUCGAAGUCACUCAACACAACUCGAACCCAUCCAAGACUGAUCUAAUUAGAAUCCAGAAUCUUUCUGAAUUCUCAAAUAUCAAGAAACGAACCUCAGAAAUGUGAAUCGGCUAUCAAAACUAACAUUCAGCUAAGAAGCAGUAUAAACUUCACUUGAAAUCAUUCUAAACUAAGAAAAUGAAAUCCAAACACUUCAGAAGCUUGAAAUAUUCAUGAAAUCCUAAUGGAACAGUAUUUUUUUUGGUUUUCUGAAGUUUUAUAUUCCCAUUUUUUGUUUUCUUUCUAUGAAAGAUGAAAUCUAAAGGAAUUUGGACCUAAAAAGUUAAUUUGCAGGUGUUGGAGCCUGAGGAGUGUUUUUGGGGAAUUUUUAGAGGUCCCAAACUUGUAUGUUAAGGCACUAAUGAUGCCUUUUUAUAGGCCUAAGGGAGGGCAGCCCUCAAUUUUCAGUUUUCCUUUUAGUCCCUCCUAAUUUUUAGUUUAGUCCCUAUAUUCUUGACUUGUUAAACAAAUUACACCUUUUAUUUGAACUGAAAAUACCUUAACGCUCAAACCUAGAAGCUUCUAGGGAAUUCUAGCUAGAUUCCACCCUGAAUUUCCUCUCUUUCCCUCACUAUCCCCUUGAAUAUUCCCCGAACUUAUUAACUACAUAGUUAAACUAACAAACAUCCCUUAAUCAAAUCAACCCAAACCCCAAAUAAAACUAAACCAAAUUUAAAACAUGAUUUAAGCCAGGAAGAAUGCCUUCAUACUAAAUCAGGAGGGGAAAUAGUGGUAACCAAACACUAACCUAAAUCAAAUCGUACAAAUUCCUAAUGAUAAUCCCACUGAUAAGCAAACUAAACAAAUUACAAUCUAAGUAAACCAACACUGAAUUAAUGAAAUUUGAACAAAACAAAAGAAAACAAAUAAGAUGAAAAGUAACAGGAAUUUAAUCACUGGGGGAUAAAACAGUAAGACGAAGAAAAAUAAGAAAACUAAACUCACUCAAGAAACUUGGCCGCCAUUUAGUUCAACAUUGGACUAAUUUCUGCUGAUAUUUGAGUACCUAUGGUGAUAGAAACCUCAAGAGGAAGAGGAGAGGGACAUGCAGCGUCGAUUUGGAGCAAUUUGAAGCAUUUAGGGUUUCGUCGGAAAAAGUUUGAAUCCAAAUUCGAGGAGUUACAAAGUGAUUCUAACAAACCAAUUGGUGUUUGGGAUGAGGGUGGUAAGGAGAAUCAGUGGUGUGAGUUCGGGGCAAUUUGGAAGAAGUUGAGUCAUGGCCGAAAAGGUUUGAACGAAGAUUCGAAGAACUCCGGCGAGAUUCGAGGAAAAUCAAGGGCCGGGUUGGAAAGGGGAGUUCAUGGGGACUCUAUGGUGUAAAUUUGGUGGCCGUAGGCUUAGGUGGUAUUCGCCGUCGGCGGCUCCACUUUGGGAUGAGGAUGGUAAGGAGAAUCAGUGGUGUGAGUUCGGAGAAAUUUGGAAGAAGUUGAGUCAUGGCCGAAAAUGUUUGAACGAAUAUUCGAAGAACUCCGGCGAGAUUCGAGGGAAACCAAGGGCAUGGUGGGAAAGGUAGUUCAUGGGGAAUUGUGGUGUAAAUUUGGUGCCGUUGGCGUAGGUGGUGUUCGCCGGCGGAGUAACAGAGAUGAUACGAGGAAUAUGAUACUGUCUUUUAGGGUUAGUGACAAAUUCAGACAGUUUUAUUAUAACUCAACAAUUACUGUGGGCCGUU
rnacentral:lncRNA from 1 species